UUCUAUCAUUUUACACUUACACAAAAAUAACAAAAGUUGAAGAGCUCCAACAAGGAGGCUCACGGCUAGAGCCAUGGAAAAUCAAGUCCCAUUUUUGCCUCUCUAAAAAUUAUUUCUUUGGUAUAAACCCACUAUUUGGAGGUCCCUAAGUGGCGUGGAAGUAUCGUUUGGGUCAUCCAACCAUCCUUUGUGUCAAAUAGCAAACCCUAGCCAUUUGUGGAAUUGAAGAAGGAAAGACCUUGGGGAGCCCGAGGCGUAGAUUGGAAUUUACUUUAGAUCGGCUAGCUUGGAGUGCGUACGAGGUACAGACGCACAGUUUGGUGAUCUACCCAUUUAGGACACCCUCUUCUGCUGUUUGGAGUGCUCUUCUCAUUUCAGAGCGCACAUUUUGGUAUAUAUAUUUGUUCGCUAUGUAUAUAUGUAUUUGUUCAGGGGUACGGCGGGGCCCUGUCCCGCCAUAUGAUUCGGUUUGUCUGUUUAGAGGUCUGUAGAUGUAUUGUGGGUGUGUGUGCCUACUUCUGUACAAGUGUGUUUGUAUGAUCUCAUUUGUUAUGGCAGCCUCGUCGGCGUGCAUUUUGUGUAUGUUUAUGGCAGUCUUGUCGGCGUGCAUCCUGUAUGUGUUUUGGGCCGUUGUGCCAUUUGACAGCCUUGUCGGCUUUUGAUACAUUUGACAGCCUUGCCGGCUUUUUGAUAUAUGUGCAUAUGUUCGGCGAUGUAUAUUCCGCCGCCUCUUCUGAUUCUGAUA